UACGAAGGGUGCAAGCGUUACUCGGAAUUACUGGGCGUAAAGCGUGCGUAGGUGGUGAGUUAAGUCUGAUGUGAAAUCCCCGGGCUCAACCUGGGAAUGGCAUUGGAUACUGGCUCGCUAGAGUGCGGUAGAGGGUGGUGGAAUUCCCGGUGUAGCAGUGAAAUGCGUAGAGAUCGGGAGGAACAUCUGUGGCGAAGGCGGCCACCUGGACCAACACUGACACUGAGGCACGAAAGCGUGGGGAGCAAACGGG
rnacentral:rRNA from 1 species